rnacentral:tRNA from 1 species
GUGGUCGUAGCUCAAUGGCAGAGCUCCAGUUUGUGGCACUGGAGGUUGACGGUUCGAGUCCGUUCGACCACC